UGUGGGCCUAGUAGGCCUUGGGCGAUGUUCAUCCCAAAAUGUUCCCACUAUUCCGAAAAUGCCCUUCCAUUAGGACUCUGGAGUCUGGAGUCUGGACCGCAAUUUCUUUCACGUCUCUGUUCUCCAAUUCUUCGUGGUCACCAUCUGAAACUAUUAUAUAACCAUUUUAACAACCCCAAAAUUGUAAAAUUCCUGCCUCGUAUUAAUAUUUUCUUGAUCCUAACAGAAAGUGGUGAUUGUCUAAUUUGGCGUUUGGAUUUUUUCCCAGCAAUGGCAAAAACUUGCAAGUCGCAAGAAGAAAUCGCGAACGAUGCGAUCAAGAACGCUUUGAAGGCUCUGCGGAAGCGGCAUUUGCUCGAAGAAGCCGCUCAUCGCCCCGCUUUUGAAGCUCUCUCAAGACCCAUCGCUUCCCAGGGUUCUGAGUGGAAAGAGAAAGCAGAGAGUCUUCAGUUAGAACUUCAGCAAUGCUACAAAGCUCAGUCUCGGUUGUCCGAGCAGCUUGUUGUCGAAGUAGCCGAGUCCAGAGCUUUGAAAGCUUCGGUCCAGGUGAAAGAAACUGCAAUUGCCGAAAUGCAAAAGGAGUUGACCGAAGUGAGGGAAGAGCGCUCUCAAUUAAAGUCAGACUUGGAACAAAAGAUUAAGGCUCUUGAAUUGGUUAUGAGUGAGAAUUCGGAACUCAAAGCACAACUAGAGCAGAUGACUACCAAAGCCAACAAAGCCGAAGCUGAAAAUAAGAUGUUGAUUGAUCGUUGGAUGUUAGAAAAGAUGAAGGACGCUGAACGCCUCAAUGAGGCUAAUGCGCUGUAUGAAGACAUGGUUCAGCGGCUAAAAGCCAGUGGUUUAGAACAACUUGCUAGGCAGCAGGUGGAUGGCAUAGUUCGUCGAAGUGAAGAAGGUGCUGAAUUCUUUUUAGAGUCGAGUAUCCCUUCCACAUGUAAAUACAGGCUCAAUGCACAUGAAGGUGGUUGUGCUGCCAUAUUGUUUGAGUAUAAUUCUAGUAGAUUGAUCACUGGGGGACAGGAUAGGUCUGUUAAAGUGUGGGAUACAAAUACAGGAACUGUAAGUUCUAAUCUUCAUGGCUGCCUUGGUUCUGUGUUAGAUCUCACUAUCACCCAUGAUAAUCGAUCUGUCAUUGCUGCAAGCAGCUCAAACAACUUGUAUGUUUGGGAUCUCAAUUCAGGCCGAGUCCGUCAUACCCUUACUGGCCACACCGAAAAAGUUUGUGCUGUUGAUGUUAGCAAGGUUUCAAGUCGUCAUGUUGUCAGUGCGGCUUAUGAUCGUACUAUAAAAGUUUGGGACUUGAUGAAAGGCUACUGCACUAACACAAUCAUUUUCCACAGCAACUGCAAUGCUCUUUCCUUCAGCAUGGAUGGGCAGACCAUAUUUUCUGGACAUGUUGAUGGUAAUCUUCGGCUAUGGGACAUUCAGACCGGCAAGCUACUUAGUGAGGUUGCUGCACAUUCACUUGCUGUCACAUCAAUAUCCCUUUCUAGAAAUGGAAAUGUUGUAUUGACCAGUGGAAGGGAUAACUUGCAUAAUUUGUUUGAUGUGCGAUCAUUGGAAGUUUGUGGCACUCUGAGAGCCUCAGGUAACAGAGUGGCUUCUAAUUGGAGUCGCUCCUGUAUUAGCCCAGAUGACAAUCAUGUUGCUGCUGGCUCUGCUGAUGGUUCUGUCUAUAUUUGGUCGAUAUCUAAAGGCGAUAUUGUCAGUACUCUGAAGGAACACAGUUCUUCUGUUCUGUGUUGUAGGUGGAGUGGAAUGGGGAAACCCCUAGCUUCAGCUGACAAGAAUGGAAUUGUUUGCGUCUGGACAUGAUGGCCUUUCAUUCACUCCUUGGAAUACACUAGCAGAAUAUGAUCCCAACCACAAACAAGGAGUAAAAGAAAUGAAGCUUGCAUAUACAUACCGUUGGGAAGAAAUUGUGUGAUUUUUUUGUAUGGGCAGAUGUUGUGGAAGAAGGCAUGGUUGGGAGAAAUGAAACUCAAAUCAGUAAAGAGCAUUGGAAGAUCAAUCUGGGAUGGAGGAUUAGUGCAGUGGAAGCUGAAAUUAGAGUUUUAAGAUGAAAUAUUGUUCUGUUUGUGAUUGUUGUUUUGUUUGGAUUUGUAAUUAUAGGUCAUAGAUUAGGUGGGAGAAAGUAGCGAAUGAAAUAUCAGAAUGCAUGUGAUGUUUAGUUUUCUGCAAUGAGUUGAAGGGUUUAGGCCUAGCCCUGGGGCAUUAGUUUCAAUUGACAGUGCUAAAUUAAAGACCCAACUUUGUGAAAAAUAUCUCAAAGCACAGAAUUGUGUACAUGCAUUAACAAAAUUGAAUAACAAAGAUGAAAAGAUAAUGAAUAGUGGUAUUAUUCC